rnacentral:tRNA from 1 species
GCCGGGAUGGCGAAACUGGCAGACGCAGGGGACUUAAAAUCCCUUGAUCCGUAAGGGUCGUGUGGGUUCGAUUCCCGCUCCCGGCA